GGGUCCGUAGUCUAGAGGCAUGACGCCGCCCUUACAAGGCGGAGGUCCGGGGUUCAAAUCCCCGCGGACCCA
rnacentral:tRNA from 1 species